rnacentral:rRNA from 1 species
CUGUGAGACAGGUGCUGCAUGGCUGUCGUCAGCUCGUGUUGUGAAAUGUUAGGUUAAGUCCCGCAACGAGCGCAACCCUUAUCCUUUGUUGCCAGCGGUCCGGCCGGGAACUCAAAGGAGACUGCCAGUGAUAAACUGGAGGAAGGUGGGGAUGACGUCAAGUCAUCAUGGCCCUUACGACCAGGGCUACACACGUGCUACAAUGGCGCAUACAAAGAGAAGCGACCUCGCGAGAGCAAGCGGACCUCAUAAAGUGCGUCGUAGUCCGGAUUGGAGUCUGCAACUCGACUCCAUGAAGUCGGAAUCGCUAGUAAUCGUGGAUCAGAAUGCCACGGUGAAUACGUUCCCGGGCCUUGUACCCACCGCCCGUCACACCAUGGGAGUGGGUUGUAAAAGAAGUAGGUAGCUUAACCUUCGGGAGGGCGCUUACCACUUUGUGAUUCAUGACUGGGGUGAAGUCGUAACAAGGUAACCGUAGGGGAACCUGCGGCUGGAUCACCUC